CUUGGUCAUUUAGAGGAAGUAAAAGUCGUAACAAGGUUUCCGUAGGUGAACCUGCGGAAGGAUCAUUAAUGAUUUUAAAGCGAGUCGAGCGUUAAGCGAGGCUUGCGAAAAUAUUUAAAACCCCACUCUUUUUAACUUUAAAAAAUAAAUCAUGAUACAUGAAUUUAAAAAAAGAUCACUUUCAACAACGGAUCUCUUGGCUCUCGCAUCGAUGAAGAACGCAGCGAAAUGCGAUAAGUAGUGUGAAUUGCAUAAUUUUGUGAAUCAUCGAAUCUUUGAACGCAAAUUGCACUUCCUGGUAUUCCGGGGAGUAUGCCUGUUUGAGGGUCGUUAGAAUAAAAAAUCGAGGCGUCGCUCUUUUUUUAGGGUGAUCGCGUCGGAAUUGAGCCGUCUUUCAAAUGUUAAUUCAUGUCAAAGUGGCUUAAAAUUCAUCCAUCCGGUACGAUUAAAGCGUAUUUAAGAUCAACUUUGAUUAAGAACGCGCGAUGACGUACCAUCUCAUGUAGUACGUUUGACUUGGCGUCGUCAGGAUCAUUCGUAUACGAUACUCAAACUUUUGACCUCAAAUCAGGUAAGAAUACCCGCUGAACUUAAGCAUAUCAAUAAGCGGAGGA
rnacentral:rRNA from 1 species